UAGCAAUACGUGGCACACGGCUCAGUAACACGUAGUCAACAUAACCAAUGGACGUGGAUAAACUCGGGAAACUGAGGCUAAACCGCGAUAGACCAAGAUACCUGGAAUGGUUUUUGAUCAAAAUCUAUAUGGCCUUUGGAUUGGACUGCGACCGAUCAGGCUGUUGGUGAGGUAAUGGCCCACCAAACCUGUAACCGGUACGGGCUCUGAGAGGAGGAGCCCGGAGAUGGGUACUGAGACAAGGACCCAGGCCCUAUGGGGCGCAGCAGGCGCGAAACCUCUGCAAUAGGCGAAAGCCUGACAGGGUUAUUCUGAGUGACUUUCGCUAAGAAAGUCUUUUGACAUCUCUAAAAAUGGUGUAGAAUAAGGGGUGGGCAAGUCUGGUGUCAGCCGCCGCGGUAAUACCAGCACCCCGAGUGGUCGGGACGAUUAUUGGGCCUAAAGCAUCCGUAGCCGGUUUUACAAGUCCUCCGUUAAAUCCAACUGCUUAACAGAUGGGCCGCGGAGGAUACUAUAAGACUAGGAGGCAGGAGAGGCAAGCGGUACUCAGUGGGUAGGGGUAAAAUCCGUUGAUCCAUUGAAGACCACCAGUGGCGAAGGCGGCUUGCCAGAAUGCGCUCGGCGGUGAGGGAUGAAAGCUGGGGGAGCAAACCGGAUUAGAUACCCGGGUAGUCCC
rnacentral:rRNA from 1 species